UGAAGACCCUGUAUUUUCUCUCUUUUUUUUUUUUUUCUCCCUCUCAUUCCCAGACUUAUUUUGAGACUGAUCCAUCCUACAAUGCCAAUGUAACUUGCAGGUGUUUCCUGUCACUAUUUCUGACCACAAUGGCUGAAGACCACCUUAUCAAGGAUGGAGCAGUGAAACACUGGAGCACCUCCAUCCCAGUUUGGGGCAGUGCUGGACCUAAAACAAAAAUAGAAUGGAAGAACAGUCCCAGUGGAGAGAAGUAAAUGAGAGAGGCAGAGGGGUGAAGAGAAGAAAGGAGUAAAGGAAGAAUCACAUCGGGUGACUGAUCCUCCAAGGGGCGAGCUGGAGAAAUGUGCUCCUCAGGGACCUCUGGCAGGAGGAUAUCUUCAGUUCUGCAGAAGUAAUUCCAGAGCACGAGACCAUCAGAAUGAACAGGUCCUGCGAUGUGAUCCAUCCAGAAUACAUAACACUCCCUGUGUCCAAGAGGAAAGUGCAACCAAAAACCACCCGGAGACAUAAAUAUCGUGGCUGCAGCUCAUUUAACUAGUAUGUAGAUGGACAAAACAGCAACAGCGUUACAUAUAAUGCAGGAACAUUAAAGAAAAUAUACUACUUGCUGGAAAGCAUAGUGCUGCUCUCCAUCUGCCUUAUCACUGGAUUCCAAUGGUUGGGUGCCCGCAGACCUUUUGCAUUAAAUUUUACAUUGAUUUUUAUGACUAGUUAUUACAUGUAAUGUCUGAGCGC
ensembl:lncRNA